CCUACGGGAGGCAGCAGUGGGGAAUUUUGGACAAUGGGCGGCAAGCCUGAUCCAGCAAUGCCGCGUGCAGGAUGAAGGCCUUCGGGUUGUAAACUGCUUUUGUACGGAACGAAACGGUGAGCUCUAAUAAAGUUUGCUAAUGACGGUACCGUAAGAAUAAGCACCGGCUAACUACGUGCCAGCAGCCGCGGUAAUACGUAGGGUGCGAGCGUUAAUCGGAAUUACUGGGCGUAAAGCGUGCGCAGGCGGUUAUAUAAGACAGAUGUGAAAUCCCCGGGCUCAACCUGGGACCUGCAUUUGUGACUGUAUAGCUAGAGUACGGUAGAGGGGGAUGGAAUUCCGCGUGUAGCAGUGAAAUGCGUAGAUAUGCGGAGGAACACCGAUGGCGAAGGCAAUCCCCUGGACCUGUACUGACGCUCAUGCACGAAAGCGUGGGGAGCAAACAGGAUUAGAUACCCUGGUAGUCCACGCCCUAAACGAUGUCAACUGGUUGUAGGGUCUUCACUGACUCAGUAACGAAGCUAACGCGUGAAGUUGACCGCCUGGGGAGUACGGCCGCGAGGUUGAAACGUCAAAGUGAAUUGACGG
rnacentral:rRNA from 1 species